rnacentral:misc_RNA from 1 species
AAGUCGUAACAAGGUCUCCGUAGGUGAACCUGCGGAGGGAUCAUUAAAGAGCGAGCGCGGAGACGCGCAACCUCCAACCCUUUGUGUGCGAAACCGCGUUGCCUCCGGGGUGCGAGAGCGCCCCGGGUGGACCACUCAAAACACUGCAUUUUUGCGUCUGAGUAUAUUAUCAAAUAACAUUAAAACUUUCAACAACGGAUCUCUUGGUUCUG